CUGGUUCUCCCCGAAAUAGCUUUAGGGCUAGCGUCGAGAGAAGAGUUGCGUGAAGGUAGAGCACUGAAUAUGUGAUGGCCCCAUCUCGGGGUACUGAGCAUAAUCAAACUGCGAAUGUCACGCCAACAUGCUCGGCAGUCAGACAGCGGGUGAUAAGGUCCGUUGUCAAGAGGGAAACAGCCCAGACCAUCAGCUAAGGUCCCAAAAUGUAUGCUAAGUGGAAAAGGAUGUGGAGAUGUACAGACAACUAGGAGGUUGGCUCAGAAGCAGCCAUCCUUUAAAGAGUGCGUAACAGCUCACUAGUCGAAUGACUCUGCGCCGAUAAUUUACCGGGGCUAAGCAUACUACCGAAGCUAUGGAUCCCAAGGGAUGGUAGGGGAGCGUUCCAUGAACGGAGAAGUACGACCGAAAGGACGUGUGGAGAUCAUGGAAGAGAGAAUGCCGGUGUGAGUAGCGGAACGUGGGUGAGAAUCCCACGCACCGAAAACCCAAGGUUUCCAGAGGAAGGUUCGUCCGCUCUGGGUAAGUCGGGACCUAAGGCGAGGCCGAAAGGCGUAGUCGAUGGACAACAGGUAGAGAUUCCUGUACCCGUAUAUAUGUGAAGGAAUGACGGAGAGAGGAAGCUGCAGCCAGCGGCUGGAAGAGCUGGUGCAAGCGAGAUAUCGGGAUGGCAGGCAAAUCCACCAUCCGAAACGAGAAGGCGUGAAGCGUACGGAAAGCUACGGCGAGUACGGAAGGCAGUGGAGGAACUUCCAAGAAAAGUUUCUAACGUUAAGUAUAUAUGGCCCGUACCGAAAAUGGACACACAUGGGUGAGGAGAGAAUCCUAAGGUGAGCGAGAGAACUAUAGCUAAGGAACUCUGCAAAAUGACUCCGUAACUUAGGGAGAAGGAGUGCUCAUAGAGAUAUGAGCCGCAGUGAAACGGCCCAAGCGACUGUUUACCAAAAACACAGCUCUCUGCUAAGCCGCAAGGCGAAGUAUAGGGGGUGACGCCUGCCCGGUGCUGGAAGGUUAAGGGGAGGGGUUAACGCAAGUGAAGCCCUGAACUGAAGCCCCAGUAAACGGCGGCCGUAACUAUAACGGUCCUAAGGUAGCGAAAUUCCUUGUCAGGUAAGUUCUGACCCGCACGAAAGGCGUAACGAUUUGGGCGCUGUCUCAGCUGUAGACUCGGUGAAGUCUUAGUACCUGUGAAGAUGCAGGUUACCCGCGACUAGACGGAAAGACCCCAUGGAGCUUCACUGCAGGUUGAUAUUGGGAUUUGAUGCAGCAUGUACAGGAUAGGUAGGAGGCAAAGAGAUGGAUACGCCAGUAUUCAAGGAGCCGCUGUUGGGAUACUACCCCUGUUGUAUUGGAUUUCUAACCGGACGACGUAGAACCGUUGACGGGACAGUGUCAGUCGGGCAGUUUGACUGGGGCGGUCGCCUCCCAAAGAGUAACGGAGGCGCCCAAAGAUACCCUCAGCUUGGAUGGAAACCAAGCGCAGAGUGCAAAGGCAAAAGGGUGUUUGACUGCGAGACCCACAAGUCGAGCAGGGACGAAAGUCGG
rnacentral:rRNA from 1 species